rnacentral:lncRNA from 1 species
CGCGGGCUGCCCGGCGCGAACGCCUGCGGGGAGGGCGGCCUCCUCGCCCGGCCCGGCCCUGCCCUGCCCCGGGGGCGGCGGCUCGGCGCAAGUCGGGCGGCCCUGGGGAGGCUGCGGGCGCGGCGUCUGGAGUUUUGAGGCAAAUCGAAGCGAGGGUCUUUCAGGCGAAGUGGCUAGACGUCCCAGCGGGGACAAUAGGUGUCAAGCGGCCGGCGGGGCGGGGCGGGGCGGGGCGGGGCGCCCCGGGGAAGGGCCGGCGGCCGGGGGUCCCUGGGGCGCGCGCGGGGCCGGGGCCAGAGGGCUGGCCUGUUAGGAGUCCUAAAGCUCCGGACUCGUGUGAAAACAGCCUUCAGCUACCUUGAGGUGACAUUUAUCCAAGAGGCCUGAGCGUUACGAAUUGGGCUUUCUUUUCCUUUUGUUUUAGAUUUACCUAAAGGUUUUAAGUGAAUGUUGAAUGAAAUACAAAACAGAAUAUUUUUUGCUCCGAGAGAAUUCUUCCCGCCUUGUCAUUAACCUAGGGGCGGGGUGGGUGUGGACAGUGAACAGAAAAUAAACCAAGCGCUGGACAGAAAUGUAUAAUCAGUGGAAAAUGCAGCGGAAUGUUGUGUGAAAGCAGUAAAUGACCGAUGUAUAAUUUGAACUCCAUAGAAAGGGGAUUUAGAAGAAGGGAUACCAAACCCACUGUUCCUGGGGAAUAAAGUGAGUGCUACUGAUCGGCAACAGUGUGUCCUGCGGAGCGGGAGGAGGCAGCCUCCGGCCGCCUCGUGUCCCCAUCAGCUGCCAAGUCCCUUAUCUAGUCGUUCAAGUAUUUCUUGAGGCUCUUACUAUGUGUUAGGAACUCUCUAGGGCCAGGGAUUGUGAACAAAUCAAAAACCUCUGUCUUCGUGGAGCUCACAUUCUAAAUGGGGCAAAGAUAAGAGACUACACGUCAGAUAGUGAAGUGGUGGAGAAGAAAACAGGAUGGUCAGGAAAAGCCUGACCUGAGCCAAGCCUGAAGGAAGUGAGGAAGGAAGGCCAAGCAGCUAUCUGGGAGGAAGAAUUUUCCAGGUGGAAGGAGCACCGAGCGCAAGGAUCUGAGAUGGGAGUGUGCUUGGCGGGUUCAAGGACCAGCAAGGAAGCCACAGUGGCGAGAGCAAAGGGUAGGGUGAGGUCCAGACAUGAAAGGGGGCCAGUCUUGUAAGGCCUCCGAGGCCAAUGGAAGAACUUUGGCUUCCGCUGAGUGAAAUGGGGAGUCACAGCACGCAUAGUUUAAAGCAGAGGAGGAGUAUGGUCAAUCUGCAUCUUAGAGAAAUCCUCUUGCUGCUCUAUAAGAAUUUACAGUAAGUGUGUAUUAGAGGUGAGGGGAAGGGUGGGGCAAGAGCAGAAGCCGCGAGCCCAGUUAGGAGGCUGUUGAAAUGUUCCAGCCCAGAGAUGGUGGUGGCCAAGGUCGGGGUGUUACCAUGAAGGGAGUGACAAGUGGUUGAGUGCUUCAUACACUGUGGUGGUAGAACCAAAAGGAUUUGCUUAUCAGUUGUGUGUUACGUGUGGGAGAGGUCAAAGCUGACCCAAGGUGGUUCUAGACGGAAGCCCCAGAGCUAUGCUGAGCACUGCACUGAACACCCGCUGAGCCGAGAGGCAGAGAGGAGGGCAUGCUCCUUUAGCUGCUUGCAGCUCUUAGUGCACUCAGCCUGCCCGCUGUCACUGUCGGAAUCUCAGGCGCCACGCUCUGCCCACUGCAUUUUAACAAGAUCCUCGGCUAAUUUGUAUACACGCUGAAGUUUGGGGGGAAAAAAAUCACUGCUUUAUGCCUUAGAACUUGACCAAUGUCUUUAAGAUCACACAUGAAAUACUCUACCAGACAAAUUUUCCGCAGACCUACAGCAUCAGAAGCCUCAGGGUGGAGUCCCGCACUCUGUUUUAACAUGUCCUCGGGGUGAGACUGAUGGGAGCUAAAGCGUGAGAACCAAUGACCUGGAGGCCCCUGAUGAUUCAGGUUUGAGCUGAAGAGGGCUUGUGGUAAGGCGUGAGGAGGAGAGGCCACUUCUGCGUUUCCUUGGCUCAUUGCACAGUAGUAGUUACCAAAGCAUGAAGACUCGUGUUCAGCUAAAUUAGGCUUUUCUUCAAGGAAAAAAGAAAGAUUGUUGAGAGGGAGCAGGAUAGAUGACAACACAGACAGCAGAUUCUCAGUUGGGGUCCAUCUCGCAGCCGUCUGUGUAUCCAGAUAGGCUGGGUUAUGCUGCAGUAACAGUCCCGAAAGCUCUGUGACUUCAAACAGGGAUCUGCAGACUACAGUCCUAGGGCCACGUGGCCCUCCCACUGUUUUUGUAAAUAAAGUUUUUUGGGACACAGCCACAUCCAUUCAUGUACAUAUUUUCUAUGGCCACUUUCCUGCCACAGCAGAGCAGAGUUGAGUAGUCGUGACAGAGACAGCAUGGUGUGCAAAACCUAAAAUACUAUCUCAUACUUUACAGAAGUAGUUUGCCAAUCCCUGGCUUAAAACAUCCAUCAUGGCUCAGCAGGAGGGCCCUACUCAGAGUAGUCAUUUGCUAGAUUCAGGCUGAUGGAGAAAGCAAGCUCAAGCGUUGAUGAUUAGCUUGCUGUAAGAAAAAAGAACUUGGGAGUAUCUCAAGUAGUAGUCAGUUAAAUACUCCAGACAGGUGGGUUUGCGUCACGUGCACCCACACCUCAUUGGCCAGACAGAGUCACAUGAUGCCAGGCAACCAAGAGAUGCUGUCCUAUCAGAUCCCUAGUAGGAAGCUAAGUGAACCAGAAACGUUUGGGGAACAUGCAUUGAAGCAUACAUAGCUGUGGUGCGCUCACUUCCUACAAUAUGUCAUCCCAUCCCAUUUCCGUGGUGUUGUGACUUUCUUGCAAUCGUUCAGGUCAGCACUUGCUCCAGGAAAACCAAUGAAUUUCAGGCAAAACAGUGUCUUUAGUCUGACUUCCUGCCCAGUCGAAUGCCAUGGUCCCAGCAAUCAAAAUUUGUCUAUUUCCUACCUGACAAAAGGGGACUGAAGCUAUAUUUAUGUGAAUUUUUAAUACUUUCCUGUCCUCUUUUUUUUUUUUUUACCUUUUUUUCUAAUCCAAAGCCAUGCAGUGGCUUGGGGUCAUUGUAUCACUGAAUAAAUAGGAAAAUUAAAGGUUUUUCCCAGAAAACCAGUGGGAGAGCAGAGUACAUCUAUAAAUGAAAAAUGCUUUCUCCAAAAACCUUGGUUUUAAGGUAUAGCCAAUAUUAAUAUGUUUUAAUAACAGCAAUCUCCCAAGACUUCUGACGUUCACUUGUUUAAUUCAUGAGACCACAGCACUCUGAAGUCUCCACAGGCGAGUGAAUGAAUAAUUGAACUACUUAUCCUGAUAAUUGUGGCAAAAUAGUUAAGCUGCUUCAACUUGAAUCACCCGAUAAACUAAUGUCAAGCAUGUUUCUAGCAAAAGAGGGGAACUUCCAUCUGAAUUACCUUAACUGCCUCUCUGCCAGGGUAACAGCGGGAAGCCCAGCCUAGCUGUGGACUUCACUGCUCACACAGCUAAGGCUCUUCUCUUCCGGUUGUUUUACUACAAGUCAGCAGCAGACAUUUGUAUCAUAAUUUUCCAUUACUGCCUUUUUAUGAUAAUUAAUCCCAUAAUUGUCUGUGUGUCCAUGAGCCAGCAUUAGACUCUGAGCUUUUAAAGGGAAGAAAUCAGUUGUUUGGAUUUCAUCUCUGUAUCCUCUGAAGUAGUAAUAUGCCUGGCACAAAUGUUUUGUCAAUAAAUAUUGCCUACUGUAUUAACCUAUCGGUCCAUGCUGCCCCUUUGCCCUGUUACAUUGUGGUCAUCAGCUGAAGUGGCAUUCUUUUCCACUUACGUUUUCUUAUGUCUGCCUUUUCUUAAUUGUAAUAUUACGCUUAGAAAUACAGCUUUAUAUUUUGUAGAGGUAGAAAAAGUCCAGAAUAGUUUUUCAGGUUUCACAAAUUACUGUUGUUUCUUAUUGAACACUCUUAGAAGCCAUGCACUGCUUUCAACAUAUAAGCAAACAUAACUUUGAGCACAGGCGUUAAAAUGCUCCAUAGUUACUUAUGUGAACUGUGCAUUCUCUUAACUUCGUGUUUCUAUUUCAGUGGUUCUCCACCUGUAGUGAUUUUGCACCACUGCCAGGACGUUUGGCAAUGUCUGGAGGUGUUCUUAAGUUGUCACAACUUGGCAGGGAGGUGCUCAGGCAUCUAGUGGGUGGAGGCCAAGGAUGCUUCCAAACAUCCUGCAAUGCACAGGACAGCACAGACUUAUCCAGGCCAAAACGCCAAUAAUGCUGAAGGUGGGAAACUGUGUUCUAUUUUAUGAGACCAAAAAGGUAUUCAUUUGAUUCAGCACCUUGCAAGUGACAGUAGUGAGAUGACACAGGCAAAAACACACACAAAAAAAGUGUCUUUAGAAAGAAAGUGUGGAAGGAUGUCACACUAAACUCUGCAUCUCGGCACUGAUACGCAUUCAUGGUCUUUUUCAGCCAAUAUAUACUAUAUAUAUUCAUUUCUCCCACGAAUACAUGCAACCCACUGUGAACAAUGGUCUUCUGAGAAAAAGAAUUUCCUUCAAAGUGACAACAGCUCCACAAGUUUUAGAAGGAAUAAAACUUUAUGUAUCUCAAAGUUACAUCCUGGGAGAAGCUAAGUACAGGGUAACCAGCUUAUUCAGGAUUGCUUCUACAGCUGGUCAGGUCUGUAUUAUUUCAGGAAUAACUUUCACACCUGACAGUGCCACUCCCCCACAUCAGGGGGUCACCCUUUAGGUGUUAAUAACAUUUAUCCUGAGAGUCUAAGAGCUUGGUUUAAAGAUCUCUUAAGCACUAACAAGCUCAAUUGAAGACGUGAAAAAUGCUACGGAAAGGUGUCGGUCCUGUCUUACUUAUUUUUUUUUUCUUGUAGAGAUUUCCAGUGAGUGUAGACUUUGCAGAAGGGAGAAGUGUGGAAGCCCCACCCCACCCUGUCUCAUCCUUUCUGGGGUGUUUCUCAGCGGGGCAAGGGCACCACCUUCAACAUCACCCGGGGCACUUGUGGAAUGAAGAUUCCCGGAUUCCACCCCAGACACUGCAUCUAUGUCCCAGGAUCUGAUACCUAGGAAUACUAUGUAUUUUAAAAAUCAAACUCCUUUUUGCACAUUCAAGUUUGUGAAUCUCUGCUCCACAGAAAGAGUCCACUUAUUUUCACAAAAAUAAGUACCAUAAAUGUUCAAACAAAAAUUCCUCUUUUCAUGGUAUUCUCUUAUCUCUCUCCCCAGGAAGUGCUGUGAGGAUGUCUUAAGUAGGGCGUGUUGACAAUUGCCAGAUAGAUGGAAAAGGACCGCAAACUCCAGUCGCUGAUCUAGGAAGGAGCAGUGGCAUUCCAAGAUGGGAGAGAAAAUGUUGAGAGAAAUUUGCUGAGGAAAGAAUCCAAGCAGAGUGGUGACUGGAAGGAGAGUAGCAGAGGAGAUGAUCGCAGAGGAUAUCGCACAGGGUAGUCACACUCCAUUAAGACGCUGCUUCCAGAGGAGACUUUUCUCUAGGCCCUUCUUGUCUAGACCGCGUGCCUCUGGCAGUCCUGUCCUGCUGCAAGACCCGUGUUCCUUGGCUUUCUUUGGAGUCAGAGCUGGAGAUGCUGCUUCUCCUGAAUGCGGUGCUAACAUCUACCUAAAGAAGAAAGAGGCCAGUUCUUUAGGACGGGGCAAGUUGGUUUGACGAGAGAAAGAGAAGAGGUGAUCAUGUGACAAGAAAUAGGAAAGUCUUACACCAGACAACUUUGAUGGAGGAAGAAGUGCACGACCACGACCACAGCGAGAGGGUGGGCCCCUGGAACCCGGAACGUCCUGCUUACUCCCACGGAGCUGGGCUCAGACUGUACGCAGGGCUCCUUAGAGGUCAUGCAGAUCGGGGAAAAUGGGCAACACUCAUUAAGUGUUUCGUGCCUAGAGUACCUGCUGCUGGACUCCUUUCAUCCCUGUGGAGCAGGCCCCUUCACCAGCUUCAUCUUACAGGUGAAAACAUCAAGGCUCAGGGAAGUUAAGCAACUUUUCCGAGAGCACCCAUCUAGUAAGUCCUCGAGCCGGGAUUCAAACUCUUGUCUCUUCAACCCUAGAGCUCACGCUCGUAACUAAUGGCGCAUACAACCGUUUUUACUCCACAACGCACGUCCAAACCUAACCAACACGUGAGAAACGCAGCCUGAGUCUCAGAAGCAAGAGCAUCAACAAAGAAGCUGCCUAAACAAGUGAAACCAAGCCUGCAGAACUGCAAGGCCACAUGUCUAACAGACGUGAUAAUGACUGUACACCCUCUCUAUUCCUUUCUUCACAAAGGGCUGACCCACCCAUGUGAAAACCUGCCGGGGACCUCAGCCUUCAGCUCUAGGAUUUGUUUCAGCAUUCCCCUUUCUGCCUGGUUAGGUCCCCGGGCCCUUGCUGUCAUCUUCUGAGUACGUUUUUCCUCCUUCUGAUUCCAUUUCUUAACUCCAGAUUCGGGCCCUCCACACUUCUCACUGUACCCAUUUCAACAUGCCCUUUGGGCUCUAGCCAGCAUUCCCUCUUGGAAAUGAUCUUAACACGACCUUGUGGGGCCACAGGGGAGAGGCUUGGCUUGGCUCCCUGCCUGGGCCUCAGGCUCUGCCACACAAGGAGACGCCCACUCUCAGGACAGCGGAAGAGGACACACAUUCACAUUCGUAUAAAGCUCAUUGUUUACAGAACAUUUGAAAAAUAUCCUGUGGUGUUUUUAGGAGAAGACAGAGCAGGUACUAUUUUCUCCAUUUUUUUUUAAAUGUCACAAACAUUUCAAGCAUACAAGAGAAAUACACAUAUAGAGACAUCCAUGAACACUGCCCAGACUUGACACAUUUACAUUUAUUUUUCCUUAAAGAAAUAAAAUGUUACAGAUAUGAUUGAAUAUCUUCCCAUCCCAUUUCCCCCCUCCUUCCCCAGAGAACCCACGAUCCUUAAAUUGAUCUGAAUCAUGGCAUCCAGGUUUUUAAAUUGUCUGUAUCUAUCUAUCUCUCUACCUGGAAUCUGCAAUGGAUACUAUUGUUCUGUGUUCCUAAAACUUUGACACAAUAUCUUACUAUAUGUAUCCUUUUGCAACUUGCUUUUUUUUUUCAAUUAGUCUUUUUUUUAAUUGAUUGAUUUUUUUUUUUCAGAUUCAGAUUUGUGUUUGUUUGUUUUCCCUUUGGAAUCCUAGUUGGGUUUUUUUGGCAGUAGCAUUGGUUUAUAACAUUAUAUAAAUUUCGGGUGUCCAUCAUUAUAUUUCAGUUUCUGUGUAGAUUGCAUCAUGUUCACCACCCAAAGACUAAUUACCAUCCAUCACCACACACAGGUGCCUAAUCACCCCUUUCGCCCUCCUGCCUCCCCGCUUCCCCUCUGGUAACCACCAGUCCAAUCCCUGUCUCUGGGUGUUUGCCUGCUGUUGUUUGCAACUUGCUUUUUCAGUGUUUUGUUUCUAAGAUUUAUCUUUGUUGAAACAUGUAUCUAAGUUCAUUUAUUUCACCUACUAGAGUGUCUCUUUUUGCUGUAUGCGUAUACACAUACAUAUGUUACUUAUCUAGUUUCCUACUGAAAGAAAUUUACAUAACUUUCUUUUUUGCACCGUUUUGAAAGAUACUGCAAUGACCAGUGUUGCACACUGUUCUUGUAGACAUGUGCUGGACUUUUUCUAGUGCAAAUUCCUGGAAGUAGAAUUGCUAGGUCAUAGGAUAUGUGCAGAACUACAAUUUUAGAAGACACUGCCAAUUGCUCUCCCAAGAGGUUGUACCAAUUUGCAUUUCCAUCAUCUGAGUUUGAGAAUUCCCAUUUCCUUUCAUCCUUGACAACUUUCUGCAUUGUCAGAUGUUUUGAUUUUUAUCAAUCUGUCCACUAAAAAAUAAUUUCACAUUGUUUUAUCAUGGGUAGAUUUUUAAAUUACUGAUUCAAUUUCUUUAUUGACUAUAAAGUCCACUGAAGUUUUCUAUUUCUUCUUGACUCAAUUUUGGUGAUUUAUAGUUUGCAAAAAAACCUGCUCAUUUCUUCCACAUUGCAAAUGUCUUGGCCUAAAGUUGAUUAUGAUAUUUUCUUACUAGUUUUAAAUUUAUUCUAAUUCUAUACCCCUUUUCCUUCCUGAUAUCAUUUAUGUCUUCUCUUUUUAUUUUAAUGGAUCCCGCUAGAGGAUUGUCUAGUAUAUUAAUCUUUUCAAAACACGAGUUUUGGUACUGUUGACCCUGUCUUCUUCCCUUAUUUUCUGUUGCGUUAAUUUCUGUACCUAUCCUUGGUCUUCUUUUUUCCCCUUUUUUGAGCACAAAUUCUUUGGUUCUUUUUGUACUUUCUUUAGUUGCAUGAUAAAUUAAUUUUCAAUCUUUUUUUCUAAUACAUGCAUUAAGGUCGUAAAUUUCUCUUCAAAAACUGCAUUAGCUGUACGACAGUUCUUUCGUUGUAAUUUUGUCCUAAAUAUUUAAUAAUUUUAUUGUGAUUUCUUAAUCAAUGUAUUUAUUUAUAAAAAUGUUUUAAUUUUUCUAACUAUAUUAGAGGUACAGUAUAACGGGGUGAUUGCUUACGUUUUUGCUAAAGGAUUCUUAAUUUCAUUGUAUUUUAGACAGAUAAUGUAGUUUGAAUGAUAUAAAUUAUUUUGUAUUUGUUGAGACUUCUCUGCAGCAUAGGCUGGGACCUGUGUUGGUAAAUGUUUCGUGUGUACUUGAAAAGAAUGUAUUAUAUUGAACUAUUAAGCACAGAAUUUCCUUUGCUUCUUUGUUUGUUUGUUUUUGGUGAGGCAGAUUGUCCCUAAGCUAACAUCUUAAGCACAAAGUUUUUUUGUUUCUGUUUUUUGUGUGUGUUUUUGAGGAAGAUCAGCCCUGAGCUAACAUCUGCUCUCAAUCCUUCUCUUUUUGCUGAGGAAGACUGGCCCUGAGCUAGCAUCUGUGCCCAUCUUCCUCCACUUUAUAUGUGGGACGCCUACCACAGCAUGGCUUGCCAAGCAGUGCCAUGUUCGCACCCAGGAUCCAAACCAGUGAAUCCCAGGCCACCGAAGUGGAACGUAUGAACUUAACCACUGUGACACUGGGCUGGCCCUUAAUAAGCACAAAGUUUUAUAUAAGUCAUUUGAUUAAAUUUUUUCACAUUCCAAGCAUUGUUAAUAAUUUUCUUUUGUCUUCUUUAUCAGUUUCUGAAAGCAGUACAUUAAAAUUUCCCAUCUAUAAUGGGGAAUUGUCAAUUUCUUUCUGUAAUUCUGUCCAUUUCUGCUAUAAGUAUUUUGAGGCCAUGUUAGUAGGUACAUAUAAGUCUGGAAAUGUUUAUAACUGUCUGUAAAUUACUCAUUUUAUCAUUCCAUAAACACCUUCUAGUGAUGCGUUUUAAAUUUUUGGAGUCCAUUUUAUGUGAUAAUAAUGUAGCCAUGUCAGAUUUCCUUCAGGUAGUUUCUGUCUGAGAGGUAGGUCAUUUCAGUGUAUUUAGUUAGAUGGUCUGUAUCCUUUUUAAAUGGUGUGUCUUGUAAACAGCAAAUAGUGCAUUGUUCUUCUUCUUUAAAAUCGGGAGGUCUCUGCCUUCCAGCUGGUGAACUGAACCCUUUUCCAUUUAUUGUUAUUAUUGAUGCCUGUGGGAUUGUUCCUACCCUCCUACUUUGGCUCUUCCUGCCCUGCUCGAUUAUCUCCCUUCGCUCAGUCCUGCCUUCCAUUGAGUCGACUGGGUUUUCUGUUUCCUCUGCUUUUCUCUUCUACUCAUUUGAAAGUUAUGUAUUCUAUUUUCAUUCUUAUGUCAGUUACUCAAUAAAAGGGAUAACUAUCUUUACAAAGUUUAAA